CUUUUGCCUUUUGUUUUCCUACUGCUGCUCUGAGCUAUGCCUAAAGUAGUUUCCCGGUCCGUAGUCUGCUCCGACACCCGGGACCGGGAGGAGUAUGACGACGGCGAGAAGCCCCUUCACGUCUACUACUGUUUAUGCGGCCAGAUGGUCCUGGUGCUGGACUGUCAGUUGGAGAAAUUGCCCAUGAGGCCCCGGGAUCGGUCCCGUGUGAUUGAUGCUGCCAAACACGCCCACAAGUUUUGUAACACAGAAGACGAGGAGACUAUGUAUCUUCGGAGGCCUGAAGGCAUUGAACGACAGUACAGGAAGAAAUGUGCAAAGUGCGGGCUGCCACUCUUCUACCAGUCCCAACCGAAGAAUGCUCCUGUGACCUUCAUUGUGGAUGGAGCAGUAGUCAAGUUUGGUCAGGGUUUUGGGAAGACGAACAUAUAUACUCAGAAACAAGAGCCUCCUAAGAAGGUGAUGAUGACGAAACGGACUAAAGACAUGGGCAAGUUCAGCUCUGUCACUGUGUCUACUAUUGAUGAAGAGGAAGAGGAGAUUGAGGCUAGAGAAGUUGCUGACUCGUAUGCGCAGAAUGCCAAGGUGAUUGAAAAGCAGCUGGAGCGCAAAGGCAUGAGCAAGAGGCGGCUGCAGGAGCUGGCUGAACUGGAAGCCAAGAAAGCGAAAAUGAAGGGAACCUUGAUUGACAACCAGUUCAAAUGAUCAGGACCUUUCUGUGAACCCAGACUGGAGACAGGCAUUGAGAUCAGGAAGAAAAAGAGCGUUUUCUUGACUACAUGGACUGGUUCCUACCUUUAUGCCCCAGCAGAAGGCUUUACGUGGCUUACCAGUGAUUCUCCUACAUUCGAAGGACCAGAGGGAAUAGGUGGCCACAUCCCAUCAUGCCCUUCAUCAUAGCAUCUCAAAGGACAAGUGAGUGGAGUACUUUCUGGAGGUAGAAGGAUGGACUGCGCAAACUCUAAAGGUCAAUUCUUAAUCUCAGCUCGCUCCUGCUGGCUCAGCCCUAAACCCAGACCGAGGAGGAGGAGGACUUUCAAGAAAGCCCCUGUCUGUCCUCCCAGUGAUGCCUUUGGAAUGGAGCUGCAGAGAGAGCUUCAGAGUGGGAGCUGAACCCACCACCAGAAAUGGGUCACCUGCUUCUUUCUGUUUGGCUCCUUUGAACCUGGGCCCGAGAAAGGAGUCCCUGUAACCUGUUGGCUGCUGCUCUGGAGCACAGCCAUAGGGUCCCCACCCUGAUGGAGGAACUCGUCAGGAUGUGCUGUGAUUGCCCGUCAACUGCUCUGGGGCCAGUGCUAGAAGGUCAUUUGGAAGGCACGCCGCUCUGUGUCGGGCUGAUGCAGAAGCAGGAGAGACCUGGCGAGAAGGCCUAGGAGGAGCUGGGCUGACCACCCCGCCCUUUGAAGAGCAUGGGGCACCCCUGUUGUCUGGAGCAUAGCCUGCCAAUCCGGUAGAAUGACUUCUGAUGACCGCCAAGAUCUGGACCUGGAUUCCAGGCUGUCUUCUUGCUCUGCAGCCGCUCAGGGCCGAGGCCCAUUGCCAUAACAGCAUACACAUCUUUGGGGAGGCUGAGCGCUGCACCCAGCUCGGCAGCCAGAGCAACUCUUCCCAGAAGGCACUGGCUGGGGAAGCUCUCGACAGGGCUCUGAUCACACUCUAGAGGCAGAGAGGGGCCCCAGAGCAGCCCCAGGCAAAAGUCAGCAUAGUGACACAACCCUGCCUUUAUACAGAACUUUUAUCCUUCAUACGGGCUGUUGUUUCGGUUUUCCUCUCUAAGAUAGCAGUCGGCUUUUUCCCAAUAGGAAAAUAAAAAUGCACCAAGGGGCCCCAGGUCAGUAAGUGAAACCCUUGAAACUUACAGCUAGGGAAUGGCUAAAUUCAGGAAAAUAGAUCUAACACAGGAACCACUAACAUUAAAAGUUUUAUUUUUAUUUCAAAAGCACUUAGGGCUUCCCUGGUGGCGCAGUGGUUGAGAAUCUGCCUGCCAAUGCAGGGGACACGGGUUCGAGCCCUGGUCUGGGAAGAUCCCACAUGCCGCGGAGCAACUAGGCCCGUGAGCCACAACUGCUGAGCCUGCGCGUCUGGAGCCUGUGCUCCGCAACAAGAGAGGCCGCGAUAGUGAGAGGCCCGCGCACCGCGAUGAAGAGUGGCCCCCACUUGCCGCAACUAGAGAAAGCCCUCGCACAGAAACGAAGACCCAAC